rnacentral:lncRNA from 10 species
GAGAAAACGAAGGGAAAGUGACUGGGGCUUAAGAGAUCAGAAGACCUCAGUUAGCAUUAGGCUCGACUUGCUACUGUGUGAUUCUAAUGUAAUCUAAAAGUAAAUGUGGGGAUAAUAAUACCUGUCCUUCCUAUUUGUAAGGUGAAUGUGAGAAUCAAAAUAAAAAACAAAGAUUAUAGAGAAAACACCAAGCAAACUUCAAAGCAAUUCAUACCUGAAAUCUAUUUUAUUAGGCCUAAAGGAAAUCCUUGGUGUAGAGGGCACUAAUGGAUCUCCCCAGAGCAGGCUGGGACAUCCCAAGAUACCUGAGGAGUUGGUGCCCUGAGCCCCCCGCGCCUCCAGCCCAUGACUUGGAGCUGAUCAAAGUGGGAGUAGGAGUACCUGGGUGCAUGAUGCUUUGGGUUACUUUCAUCUGAAAUAGCAGUUAAUCCUCACAGCCUCACCUCUACCCUGCUUCACCUUGAGUGGCCUGGAACAGUAAGAAGGUCACGAGCUCCCUCUGCUGAAGCCCACAGAAGGGCCCACCCACUGUGGAAGAGCUGGCUUCAUCUCUGAGUAUGCUGGGGUCACUCUGGAUGUUGGAAGCCUGGGAUCAGGACCUGAGGUCUGCUAGUUACAUGUCCUUGCCUUUAUGCUGCUGUGGGCAGAACAAAAUCUAGUUCUUUCCCUUUUCAUGCCACUAUGUAACACAGUCUCAAUCUGGCCCAGAAAGAUGAAAAAAGGAAUAUAAUUCACAAAGUAAAAUGAGUGAUCUUUUUUCUGAAAUAACUCCUCUAUUUUUACAAUGUUGUUUAUUCAAUAUAAAAAAUUCAGGGGAGAAGGAAAUCCUCAGAAAAGUGAUUCCUUUCUCUCAUAUGUUCAUAAAUGUUGCCAAGGAGUUCUUCCUGGUGUCUAACCUAAAUCCUACCCGCUGGGGGUAAACCCAGUUUCUUCUGUCUUAUUAUCAUGGGAUUCUGGCACAUUUUGAAAUUCAGCAGGAAAUUUGGCUGCUCAACCAAGAAUGGAAGCAUCCUCUGUACUAGCCAUGUGAGUUUGGACAAGUUAUUUAACUUCUCAGUGGUUAUAAACCUCUCAUCCUGUAAAAUGAGGAUGAUAAUGACAUUACCUGUUUGAUAGGGUUGUUGUGGGGAUUAAUUAAUUUGUAAAACAUAUUAAUAGUGCCGGGUACUAUUGUUGUUUUUCUGCUUUUAGGUAUCACAAUCAGAUUGUGUUAGAGGGGUCAGCAGGUUUCCAUGCAUUUCAUUGUUACAACACUCUACCGUGUAUUUAUUUGUGCAAUCACCUGAUUAAUGUGUGCAACUCUUACUAGCGGGUGAACUCCAAGAAGACAGGGAACUUGCCUGUCUUAUUCACCACUGAAUCCCCA